UGAUUAGAAGUCGAAGCCUAAUGUCAAACAGCACUUAACGGAAGUACUUGCUCUUGAAAGCAACUGACCACAUUGACAAUGACCAGGUGUCUUGCUAAACUCAACAGAGCAGGUUAAAGGAGGUUUGCUUUCACAAGUAUAAAACAUCUCCUUGGAAAAUGGAUUUUGUCAAAAUGACUGCGUAAUUGUCUCAGAAAGACAGAAAUAGCUUGUUUAUUCGCAGUUUUUCUACUGAUUCCCAGGAGCACGGCUGAAGUAUGAAGACAGAAAUAGCAAACAGAACAAGCCACGUGCAGAAUGAAUCAUCCUCUGCAUUUAUGAUGAUGUAAAAAGAAAGUUGGUAACGUACUUCAUCUCGAGCACUUCCUCCAGAUGUCGCCUCCUCUCUGCCCUCAGUGUGGUCAGAUGAGCUUCUUUCUCAGCCAGAGACUGUUGGGUGGACGACAUCUUGGCCUUCAUGGACUCCAGCUCCAGCUUCACCUUCUCCAUCGCUCCAAGAUGUCUAAUAGACGAUCGACUUCAGCCUGGGCUUUGGCGGAGUCCUCUCUGUGUCUGGCCACAUCAGUCUCGAGUGAAGAAAUCCGCUCAGAUAUCUCUGUGUUGGCCUGUGCAUUGGCUGCGGCACUCUGGACCUAAUAGAUGAAUGUGAUAUAAACACACCCACAACUUACACAAACUCAAAUAUAUAAGUCCAUGCUUACUCUCCCAUUUGUUUGUCCUUUGUAGUUACAAUGGCUUCGUUUCAAUUCUCAUACUUGUACUAUGCACUGUGUUCCUAUAAUUUUUACCAAAGUAUUUCCGUGACCUUUCCAGUUUUUAAUAAAUUGUGGAUUGCUUGGUGACAUUUCAUUUAAGUAUAUAAUGUACCAAUCUUUUGAUAAACAUAUUUAAAGGGAUAGUUCACCCGAAAAUGAAAAUCCUGUCAUUAUUUACUCACCCUCAUGUCAUUCCAAACCUUUAUGCCUUCAUUUCUGCUGCAGAACACAAAAUAAGAUAUUUUGAAGUUGAAAACCAAACAGUUUCGGUUCCCAUUGACUUGCAUUGUUUGUUUGUUUUGUCCAUACAAUAGAAGUCAAUGGGAACUGAAGCUGUUUGGUUUUCAACUAAACAAGGGUGAGAAUUUUCAUUUUGGGGUUGAAGCCCUUUAAAUGAUUAUAUCCGUUUAAACGUUUUCAGUAUAUUUUUACUCUACAAUUUUUCUCUACAAUAUCUGGCCAAAUAAAUAUUUUACAGAAGAGCAAAAAAUUUUACCAAACUAUUUUAUUUUAUUUGACUAAUUUCCAUGAUCUUUUUAAGACUUAUCCAUGCCGGGAAAUCGCAUUUGUAAAAAGUAUCCCAUUUAAAGAACUUUGGUUUACUAUUUAUUUUAUUUUUUUACUAACAUAAUAUUAUUAUCUUUUAACAAUCUUUUAUAAAUUAUGUCGCUCUCGCUCACCUUCUUCAGUUGGUUCUCGAGCUUAGUGCAUUCCUCCCUCCUCUGCUCGAGGGCGAUCUCCAGGCUUUUCAGUUUGGAGUCUUUCUUCAGGCCAGAUGAGGCCAGUGACGAUGCAUGCUCUUUGAGAUCCAGCAGAGAAGUCUGAAACCAAACUUAGCAUUGAGACGCAACCUCAGAGCAUCCACCUGCAAAACAGUUGUGCGCAGCGGUCAGAGAAUCUGGCGGUGUGAUGGGUGAAGACUAACCACUGGUGUGCUCUACUACCUCUGUCUGGAGAAUAGCAGCACGUUGUUCUUUGGCAGUCAGAGACUCUUUGAGCACUUCAAUAUGCUGUUUGCUGUCAGAGAACUGGUUAGUCAGGGUUUCCAGCUUGGUCUGCAAGCCGAGGAGCUGGGUGUCCUUCCUGGAAAGAGCGUGCAGUACCUUGUUCUUCAUGAACUUGGUGUGGUUGCGGUAGACCUCCAUCUGCUUGGCCUCCUCCUGCCGUUCUUCACAGCUGAGCAUGCUACUGGAUCGAAGCAUCAUGACCUGGUCCUCCAGCUCCCUGAGACCCCGCUCUAGAGAACUGAUCUGAGACUCCUAAAACAUGCGUCAUAGGUUUGAUUUACUACACACCUCUCUCAAAGCCACUAGCUCUUUAUCACGCUGUUCUAGAAGGUUCUCCAGGUGGUGCGCGUGCAUCUCAGCAUCUGCGAGGCGUCGUGUGCGCUCAUGGUCCUC